rnacentral:rRNA from 1 species
UACGUAGGGGGCAAGCGUUGUCCGGAUUUAUUGGGCGUAAAGAGCUCGUAGGCGGUUUGGUAAGUCUGGUGUGAAAUCUCCACGCUCAACGUGGAGGGGCCACCCGAUACUGCCAUGACUGGAGUCCGGUAGAGGAGUGUGGAAUUCCCGGUGUAGCGGUGAAAUGCGCAGAUAUCGGGAGGAACACCCGUAGCGAAGGCGACACGCUGGACCGGUAUUGACGCUGAGGCGCGAAGGCUAGGGGAGCAAACGGG